rnacentral:lncRNA from 10 species
AAAGCUGGAGAUCCUGUUGCUGACACUCUGUCAGGCAGUCAGAGGAUGAGGUCAGUCCAAAUCCUUUGAACAACACCAGGGAGUAGCUUCCGCCAGAAAUCCUCAGUUGCUUCAGAACUUUUUCCAGCCCCAUUCAAUUGCUAGGUCCUCUGAAAGAAAACUGGUUCAAACAUGGCCAAUAUGCCCAGCAACGUGUGGGUACUGGGGGAUUCUACAUGUUUUCCCCAGCAAGCCUCUCCCCCAUGUCUUGUAAAGCUGGCAGCCAUGCUAAUUAUUUUUAAAUGACUGAAGGGAGCCCAGUAUUUGGUAUGAUUUGAUUCUAAAAUGGAGGCUGAGAGCCUUGAAAUGAAAGGACAGAGUUGAGUUUCACUCCUGUAUUCAACAUUCCAAUGAAAGUACCUUGGGAUCCUGGACACACCCCCAGUAUGAAGAUGCAUUGUUGUCUAAGGUAAAUACCUGAGGUUCAUCGUCUUGCAACAAGAAGUCUAAGGGCAUGGACACACACAAGGAGUGAGUUUAGGAGUAGAAGUUUUAUUUCCAAAGAAAGAGAAAGGAGAAUAGCUCUCUCUCUUGUGAGAGAGGGGGCGUCCAAAUAAGAAUUCUGCCCCAUGGCAGAGUGAACCAGAUUUUACAGACAGGCUUGAGGAAGCAGUGUCUAAUUUACAUAGAGCCCACAGAUUGGUUGGACCAGGGGUGAGGUUUACAUAGUGCAUGGGGAAGCUGGCCAUCCCAUCCUAAUCGUCUUAUUAUGCAAAUGGGAUCUUUGCUUGACUAAUGCCAUGUUCCCUGCUCCUUACUGUACAUGUGGCUGGCAAAGAGAAGGGAAGAUGGAACUGACAUUUUGAAUGUGCCCAGUCCCAGGCAGCCUUUUCUUAUUAGCACAACUGAUGGCAUUCACCAGUGCAAGCUUCCAGCUUGUUUCUCUAUGUCUGCAAGUCAUUUUACAGUCUGCUAUUUGUAGGAAAAGAAAGUAUUUUGGGCUGCUUUUCAUUAAAAGGAAAACCUUACUGAGGACUCCUGUGCUCUCACUAUCUGCCUAAAUAACUUUUUAAAACUCAUAUAUUACUAACAUAUGUUGCAUCUUGGAGAAGUUUCCAUAUGCAUUGAGAAAAAUGUGGUUUUUUGUUACUGUUGUGUGGAGUGCUUUGCAUGUGUCUGUUAGGUCCAACUGAUUAUAGUAUUGUUCAAGUCCUGUAUUUUCUUAUCGAAGUCCUGUCUGGUUUUCUUUUCUUCAUCAUUAAAGAAUUUUUUUUGCUGGAUAAAGUAUUAUAGACUGGCAGUUAUUUCCUUUUAGCAUUUAGAUGAUAUUAUUCUAUCAUCUUCUGAAUUUCAUUGCUUUUAUUUAGAAGUUAGCAAUAGUAUUGUUACUUUGAAAGGAAAUGCAUUUUGUUCUCUUUCAAUUUUUAGGAACUUUCUUUAAUAUGUGUUUUAUAGUCUUUUGAAUAUUUUCUGCCUAAACAUGUUUUCUUAUAUCUGGUUUCAGGCUCAUAGUUCUCCUCCAAUAUGUAACCCAAUAUCUUUAAUCUGCUCUGAAAAAUUCCAGGUGUUUAUCUGUUCAAUAGCUUCUUCUCCAUUCUAUCUUAUCUCUCCUUGGGAAGUCUAAUUUCAACCUAAGCUCUAUAAGCUUCUUCAUUGCCUUUUCUCUAUAUUUUUUUCUUAAGACUGUAUGUUGUUUUCUCAUUUAUUUUCCAAUUUAUGAAUUAUUUAGCUAUGAAAUAUCUGGUAUUAAACCCAUUCAUUAAGCAAUUCGCUAUAGUUAGUGUAUUUUUAGUUGCAAAAUGUUCAUUUAAUAUUUUAAAAUAUUUUAUAUUGUUAUGCUGGUAUUAUUUACCUUUGAAUUUAUUUCUAUAUAUAUGUAGUAACAUUUACUGUUAUACAACUUUCAGAGAAUUCCAAGAUUUAUGUUAAUGUGGGGUUUUAUUCUGUUGUCUAUAUUUUAUUCUCAAACUUCUCUAUGUGUCUUGUUUUUAUUUCUAUUUAGACAUGGGGUCUCCCUAUGUUACCCAGGCAUAACUCAAAUGCCUAAGCAGAAGCAAUGCUCCCAUCUCAGCUUCCCAAGAAGCUAGGGCUACAGGCAUGCACCACUAUACUUGGUAUGUACCCACAAGUAGAAUUGCUAGAUGAUAUGGUAAUUCGCUUUAAAUUUUUAAAUUCUUUUUAAAAAAAUACUUAAGAAAUUCUGUCAAAAGCAAGAGAGCUGUGAACACCUGAACUACCACAGAAUCCUUUCACCACCUCCCACUAAUCCAGGAACACCAAGGUUCAGUUUGUC